rnacentral:rRNA from 1 species
AGAGCGAACGCUGGCGGCAGGCUUAACACAUGCAAGUCGAGCGGGCGUAGCAAUACGUCAGCGGCAGACGGGUGAGUAACGCGUGGGAACAUACCUUUUGGUUCGGAACAACACAGGGAAACUUGUGCUAAUACCGGAUAAGCCCUUACGGGGAAAGAUUUAUCGCCAAAAAGAUUGGCCCGCGUCUGAUUAGCUAGUUGGUGAGGUAAUGGCUCACCAAGGCGACGAUCAGUAGCUGGUCUGAGAGGAUGAUCAGCCACAUUGGGACUGAGACACGGCCCAAACUCCUACGGGAGGCAGCAGUGGGGAAUAUUGGACAAUGGGCGCAAGCCUGAUCCAGCCAUGCCGCGUGAGUGAUGAAGGCCCUAGGGUUGUAAAGCUCUUUUGUGCGGGAAGAUAAUGACGGUACCGCAAGAAUAAGCCCGGCUAACUUCGCGCCAGCAGCCGC